rnacentral:rRNA from 1 species
GAGAAUCCUCAGGUGAGCGAGAGAACUCUCGUUAAGGAACUCGGCAAAAUAACCCCGUAACUUAGGGAGAAGGGGUGCUGAAGAGAAAUCAGCCGCAGUGAAGAGGCCCAAACAACUGUUUAUCAAAAACACAGGUAUCUGCAAAAUCGUAAGAUGACGUAUAGGUACUGACACCUGCCCGGUGCUGGAAGGUUAAGAGGACCGGUUAGCCGCAAGGCGAAGCUGAGAAUUUAAGCCCCAGUAAACGGCGGUGGUAACUAUAACCAUCCUAAGGUAGCG